CAAUAGCGUAUAUUAAAGUUGUUGCAGUUAAAAAGCUCGUAGUUGGAUUUCUGGUAGGAGUGACCGUUCCGAACUUGAUUGUUCGUGUAUUGUGUUUUCUCCAGCCAUCCUUGUGGAGAACUUUUCUUGCAUUAAUUUGUAGGGAUUGGGACCCGCAUCGUUUACUGUGAAAAAAUUAGAGUGUUUAAAGCAGGCAAUCGCUUGAAUACAUUAGCAUGGAGUAAUAAGAUAGGACUUUGGUACUAUUUUGUUGGUUUGCAUACCAAAUUAAUGAUCAACAGGAACAGUUUGAGGAUAUUCGUAUGAACAUGUCAGAGGUGAAAUUCUUGGAUUUUGAUCAGACGAACUACUGCGAAAGCAUUUAUCAAGGAUGUUUUCAUUAA
rnacentral:rRNA from 1 species